rnacentral:rRNA from 1 species
UACGUAGGGGUCGAGCGUUGUCCGGAGUUACUGGGCGUAAAGCGCGCGUAGGCGGCUUUGUAAGUUAGAGGUGAAAGCCCGAAGCUCAACUUCGGAAUUGCCUUUAAGACUGCAUCGCUAGAAUUGUGGAGAGGUAAGUGGAAUUCCGAGUGUAGAGGUGAAAUUCGUAGAUAUUCGGAAGAACACCAGUGGCGAAGGCGACUUACUGGACACAUAUUGACGCUGAGGUGCGAAAGCGUGGGGAGCAAACAGG